rnacentral:rRNA from 1 species
AUUGAACGCUGGCGGCAUGCCUUACACAUGCAAGUCGAACGGCAGCGCGGGGGCAACCCUGGCGGCGAGUGGCGAACGGGUGAGUAAUACAUCGGAACGUGUCCUGGAGUGGGGGAUAGCCCGGCGAAAGCCGGAUUAAUACCGCAUACGCUCUGAGGAGGAAAGCGGGGGAUCUUCGGACCUCGCGCUCAAGGGGCGGCCGAUGGCAGAUUACAGAUGGUGGGGUAAAGGCCUACCAAGGCGACGAUCUGUAGCUGGUCUGAGAGGACGACCAGCC